AUUUCAAAAUAAUCACUCCUUGGGGUUCUUCUAGCUAAAAGCUAUAGAUAUUUUUUAAUGAAUUGAUUUAAAUCAAAUUAGUCCUUAAAGUGUCCUUGUGGAGCCUGACAGAGGAAUGAGAGGCAUCAAGAGUUGUAUUGUAUUGCCUGCCAACCCUAGACCCCUUUUCUUUGAGAAACGAGACAGCAAUUCUAGGUCUUAGUGCAUAAGGCCAGUCUUUGUGCUUUGAGGUGCUUUUUUUUUUUUUUUUUUCUCUCUGAGACGGAGUCUUGCUCUAUUGCACCACUGGACUCCAGCCUGGGCGACAGAGUGAGAAUCUGUCUCAAAUAAAUAAAUAAAAUUAAAUUAUAACAGGCAAACCGUCACUGGCCAGGGAACUCCUACGUGGAAUAAACAAAGCUGAUGUGUAAAGAAUUCUGAGGUGUGCUUCACAGGUCACCACACACAGCUAGCCUUCUGUUGGGGUCUGGCCCAGCCCUGUGCUUGGGUAAGGACAGAAGGCUCUGGGUGACGCUCCGUGAAGGAGAACCCAGUUGCUGGGCAUUGUCUCUUGUGCGGUGAUGCUGAUGCCUAUCCUUUGGU
rnacentral:sRNA from 1 species